GACAGAGGGUGCAAACGUUGUUCGGAAUUACUGGGCGUAAAGCGCGUGUAGGCGGCCCUGCAAGUCGGAUGUGAAAUCCCACGGCUCAACCGUGGAAGUGCAUUCGAAACUGCAGGGCUAGAGUCCUGGAGAGGAAGGUGGAAUGCUUGGUGUAGAGGUGAAAUUCGUAGAUAUCAAGCGGAACACCGAAGGCGAAGGCAGCGUUCUGGGAAGCAACGUGACGCUCAUGUGCGAAAGCC
rnacentral:rRNA from 1 species